rnacentral:rRNA from 1 species
AGGGCACCACCAGGAGUGGAGCCUGCGGCUUAAUUUGACUCAACACGGGAAAACUUACCCGGCCCGGACACUGGAAGGAUUGACAGAUUGAGAGCUCUUUCUUGAUUCAGUGGGUGGUGGUGCAUGGCCGUUCUUAGUUGGUGGAGCGAUUUGUCUGGUUAAUUCCGAUAACGAACGAGACUCUAGCCUACUAAAUAGACUGUUCAGCUUUAUAGCCGGAAUCACCGUAUGCGUGGCUCUCGGGUUGCGUAUGCGGCUCUGGUGACGCUGGCAGUGCUUCUUAGAGGGACAGGCGGCGGUUCAGCCGCACGAAACAGAGCAAUAACAGGUCUGUGAUGCCCUUAGAUGUCCGGGGCUGCACGCGCGCUACACUGAAGUGAUCAGCGUGCAAUUCAAGUUUGGUGAUCUGUCAAGAUUGCCCAACCCGUUGAACCUUCUUCGUGAUUGGGAUAGGGGGAUUGUAAUUAUUUCCCCUUGAACGAGGAAUUCCCAGUAAGCGCAAGUCAUAAGCUUGCGUUG